rnacentral:rRNA from 1 species
UGGAGGCAGCAGUGGGGAAUUUUGCGCAAUGGGCGAAAGCCUGACGCAGCAACGCCGCGUGGGGGAUGAAGGCCUUCGGGUCGUAAACCUCUUUCAGCAGGGACGAAACAAGACUGUACCUGCAGAAGAAGCCCCGGCUAAAUACGUGCCAGCAGCCGCGGUAAUACGUAUGGGGCAAGCGUUAUCCGGAUUCAUUGGGCGUAAAGAGCGCGUAGGCGGCUUGGUAAGUCAGAUGUGAAAACUGGGGGCUCAACCCGCAGCCUGCAUCUGAAACUGUCAGGCUUGAGUCUGGUAGAGGAAAGUGGAAUUCCCAGUGUAGCGGUGAAAUGCGCAGAUAUUGGGAGGAACACCAGUGGCGAAGGCGGCUUUCUGGGCCACGACUGACGCUGAGGCGCGAAAGCUAGGGGAGCAAACAGGAUUAGAUACCCCGGU